rnacentral:rRNA from 1 species
ACUAGGGUGGCAGCAGUGGGGGAUAUUGCACAAUGGGGGGAACCCUGAUGCAGCGACGCCGCGUGGGUGAAGAAGCGCCUCGGCGCGUAAAGCCCUGUCAGCAGGGAAGAAAAUGACGGUACCUGAAGAAGAAGCCCCGGCUAACUACGUGCCAGCAGCCGCGGUAAUACGUAGGGGGCAGGCGUUAUCCGGGUUUACUGGGGUUAACGGGGGCGCAGACGGCGAUGCAAGCAAGGAGUGAAAGCCCGGGGCCCAACCCCGGGACUGCUCUUGGAACUGGGUGGCUGGAGUGCAGGAGGGGCAGGCGGAACUCCUGGUGUAGCGGUGAAAUGCGUAGAUAUCAGGAGGAACACCGGUGGCGAAGGCGGCCUGCUGGACUGCAACUGACGUUGAGGCCCGAAAGCGUGGGGAGCAAACAGGAUUAGAUACCCCAGUAGUC